UACGUAGGGUGCGAGCGUUAAUCGGAUUUACUGGGCGUAAAGGGCGCGUAGGCGGUCAGCACAAGUCAGUUGUGAAAUCUCCGGGCUUAACUCGGAAAGGUCAACUGAUACUGUGCGACUAGAGUGCGGAAGGGGCAACUGGAAUUCUCGGUGUAGCGGUGAAAUGCGUAGAUAUCGAGAGGAACACCUGCGGCGAAGGCGGGUUGCUGGGCCGACACUGACGCUGAUGCGCGAAAGCCAGGGGAGCGAACGGG
rnacentral:rRNA from 1 species